rnacentral:lncRNA from 1 species
UUUUUAGCAUUUUUAGUAUUUUUAGUAUUUUUUUUAUUAUUAGUAUUUUUAGUAUUUUUAGUAUUUUUAGUAUUUGUAGUAUUUUUAGUAUUUUUAGUAUUUUUAGUAUUUUUUUAUUAUUAUAAUUAUUAUUAUUAUUAUUAUUAUUAGUAUUAUUAUUAUUAUUAUUAUUACAUAGAACAUGACAUCCAGAAAGGUUUUACCCGAAAUGUUGCAGGAACUGUUGAACAUAUAGCCCACAUGGCGCACACAAUCAACACAGCCCGUAUAAAACAAAGGUCACUUGUAAUCACUUUACUCGAUCUGAAGAAUGCAUUCGGUGAACUACAUCACAACCUUAUUUACAAAGUUCUUCAAUAUCAUCAUAUACCCGAUCCUAUAAAUGAACUAAUCCGGAGUCUUUAUACUAACUUCCAAACAUCUAUUAUAACUGAAAAAUUCAGUACCCCUUUCAUUACCGUCGGCCGUGUCGUUUUACAAGGUGACUGCCUUAGUCCACUCCUUUUCAAUAUGUCCUUUAAUACCUUCGUACAACACAUUAAAUCUGAAUCAUUCCUGCAGCUUGGUUUUUGGAAAUUU